ACUCAUGCCUGGCAGGGGAGAUACCAUGAUCAUGAAGAUUGGUUCACCCGGGGCGAGCUCAGCCAUUGCACUUCGGUUGUGCUGACCGAUGCGAAUUCCCCAAAUGUAGAAUCUCGACAUAAUUGUGGUAGUGGGGGACUGCGUCCGCGCUCCUGAU